GACGUAGGGCGCGAGCGUUUGUCCGGAUUUAUUGGGCGUAAAGAGCUCGUAGGCGGUCUGUCGCGUCGGUCGUGAAAACCUGCAGCUUAACUGUGGGCGUGCGGUCGAUACGGGCAUGACUGGAGUUCGGCAGGGGAGACUGGAAUUCCUGGUGUAGCGGUGAAAUGCGCAGAUAUCAGGAGGAACACCGGUGGCGAAGGCGGGUCUCUGGGCCGAUACUGACGCUGAGGAGCGAAAGCGUGGGGGAGCGAACAGG
rnacentral:rRNA from 1 species